rnacentral:lncRNA from 1 species
UAAAAUACAGGAAUCCAAAAUAAUAUAAACAUUUAGACCUUAAUAAUUAGUACAAUUUAUGAAUUAACAUAAUAUGUAAUCAGUUGUUUGUUGUUUGUUUAUUUUAUUAUUUGUCUGUCAUAAUAAAUAUAAUGUCAGAUCAAUCAAAUACACUGCUCAACAUGAUCAAAUCUUACUAAGAGUCGUAUCAGUUUUUUUAGGAACCGGCUGUACAUUGAAACAAGAAUCUACAGGUCGAGCAAGUCUCGUAAAUUUCACGAUUGCGAGCCACGCUUCACGCAACCGUGUUUGCGUACUUGUGUUUCGAGUUGCGUGGUCUUGCGGAGUUACAUUUACCAAAUUUAAAUCCGUUCCAACAUGCUGUCAAAAUUAAAUCAAUAUGUCAAUAUGGCUACUGGGUGUAAAAGAUAAAUCUUAUUCUAUCUGUUCUUAAUGAGUUUUAGAUAAUUUUAGUUGUAUUUCUUUGUAAUAUUGUGUUGUACAAAGAUUAAUUUAACAUUUUCUCUGGAAGUAUUAAUUUAGAAAGAUAAUUAUGCUUCAUUGGUGUUGUGUUUUGAAGUGUGAAAUGCAAAGUAAUUGUGAUAAAGUUCACUUUUAAACUGAACUAAAUAAGGUAUCUGAGAGACAACAAUGGUUAAAUGCAAUACAAUGUACAGGUUUUACUAGCGAAAUGAAAAUUUUCCUGUCCUGUCUGCUGUAAUCAUUUUAUAUCUGGAAAACCAGCCGACUUAAUCGAUAAUAACAAUCUCCAGAUUGGGUUCCUUCAAUAAAUAUGGGCUAUAAACACAAUGAAAUAAGUUCCCCAAAAUCUAAAAUGAAGUGGUAUCAAAGGAGAAUUAAAGGAAAAAAUAUUCAUAUUGAAAUUAUUUAUAAGGCACUGGACUGUCUUAAAUUCUACAAUAAUACUAGAAUCAGCUGAGAGAAGUGGUCUACAAAAAACCAGGAAGGAAACGGAAUAUGUGGCUACGAAAGGCAAAAGAAAGGUUUACAAAGCAAAUGUGACACAUUUUUUUGAAAUAUUUAGGAAUAUCAGUAAAUUGCAUUAAAAAAAUGUAUGAAAAGAUUUUGUUCAAUAAAAAUGUUUAUAUUUAUAAA